GGCGGGUCUCCCCGCAUGGUAAUUCGGAACACCGGGUCAGGGCGGAAGCCAGCAGCCCACUCUGAUGAGCCAGUGCCGGGGUUCGGCUCGCCACC
rnacentral:SRP_RNA from 1 species